GCGCUGCUCACCCCAGUCAUCAAUGAGUACGGUAGUACAGACAUGGCCCAUGGAGGGUGAAAGGCCCGUUCGGGUGGAGAUUCGGCAGGCCAGUGCUUCUCUGGGUAGACCUUGGAGUCGGGUUGUUUGUGAAUGCAGCCCAAAGUGGGUGGUAAACUCCAUCCAAGGCUAAAUACAAGCACGAGUCCGAUAGCGAACAAGUACCGUGAGGGAAAGUUGAAAAGUACUUUGAAGAGAGAGUUAACAGUGCGUGAAACCGCUCAGAGGUAAGCAGGUGGAGUUGAACUGCAAGCUUUGAGAAUUCAGCUGGUGAGGUUGGUUUGGGCUUGGUCAAAUUGGUUGGGCCCCGAAGUACGUUAAACCACGUGUCCUUUCCCUUUGGGUUGGGAUGUGCGAUACACUUACCAAGUGUUGCACGCUUUGGGUGUUCAUCGAGCCUCCUUGUCAGUGCACUUUCUCAGAGUGGUCACCACGACCGACGCCGCUGUCAGGCUGUCAUAGUUAAACCGGUCUUGUAGUGUCCUUGUGGCAUUGCCUGGUCGGGAUGGCAGGUAGCUUGUUGGCUCGCUUCGGCUUGCUUUCGAGUGUAAUCAGCUGACUGUGACGGUUCUGUGCAGUGCGUCGGAGACGGCGGCCAGUGUUGUGUGCAUGCGUGGCCCGAUUUGUUGGCGUACCCUGGUUUGGUUUCUGUGUUGCCUGUGAUAGCAGGCCUUAGUUAUGGCUGGGGUUCGUUCGGCGAAUGGGUUGCGUGUGUGGCACUUCCAAGGGCCCAAUAAGUCUGUGGGUGUAGUGGGUAGAC
rnacentral:rRNA from 1 species